UUGUGUUAAUACGACCAAUAAAUGCUGGAGAUGCACACGGGGUCAAACUCAGCGGGGACAUACAGGCCAGCGGCCCCCCCCGGAGAACAAGGACUAGGAUACUGGUGGACCUGCUGACUAUCUCCUGAAGAUUGUAUAUUGCUCCUGAUUCCAGCAUUUUCAGCCACUUAUGCCUCCGCUCCUGAGAGUCUUUUUGACUACCAAUCCUGCCAUCACCAUUCACCAGGCUGCAAAACCUUCAGCCUGAUGAUGAAAAUUUGCUCUAUUGGACAAAGAGUGCCUGAGAAGUUCAUGGAAAAAUAAGCCUAUUUUGCAUUGCCACUGCUUGACAGAGUGCAUUAUACAGUGAAAAAUGAGCACCAAUUCAGAAUAAUAAAGGACUAUCAGAGCUGAACUACAUUACCUUCAUCCCAGGAUAUAAAUUACAUGAAACAUCUCCAUGACUCUCCAAAUCAUUUUCACUGGAUGAAUGAAAUAUAUAUGGUGCCGCAUAAAAGAUUAAUUUUUUGUGUUUUGUCAUAUAUCUAUGCUUCCUUUUUUCAAACUCUUCCUGUAUUUUCUAUUAAUCGGGUUUUCAUUUGAAACGGUAAAAUGACAAGUUUUGCUGGCACCCAUGCAACAAAGUGUUAUUUCAUGGCGAUAUUUGUCCACAUUUAACAAAUCAUGCACGGUGGAUUUCAAUAUAAAUUGGUCAGCAGGAUUUCAUCUGCACAAGGUGCCCUGGAAGUGAUUUAUACUUACCUACUUAAUACUACACUAUGUUAUUAGCACACUAUAAAUGCACACUUAUUUUUAGAUCAUGAAAUCAGUAAUGACCUCUCUUCUGUUUUUGUAUUGGAUUAGGAAGGUAUUUUCUAUCUUAGAAUACAUGACACUCAUAGAACAAUUAAUCCCUUCCAAUAGCGAGUUAGACAAAUCACCAAGCAAGUUACUUGCAAAACUAUUACAGUGAAUGUUACUAUGAACAAAUGUUAUUUACAUCAUGGAGAAUCUACCCUGUUCUGAAAAGUUAAUUUCAAAAUCUAAAAUCUGAGUGGAAUAAUCUUUGGUUUUACCUUCUCCAGUAGACAUGGAGAUUUUAUGAGCCAGCUAUGUAAUAGAAGAAGGAGCAAGCUAUGCAGUAGUUGGAGGAAUCUAUUGUUAAUAGUCAUAACUUGCAGUUCAUUUUGGAAUAUUUUCAGUAAUUAAUAUUUUGUGGUAGAAAAUUUUGAAGACAUAGCAGAUCAGCCAAUUCAGCAAAAUUAAAAGUUGUGUAUUUGUUAGUGUGUUUUACAACACAGAUCUUUUAUAGGUAGUGCUAACUAAUACCAAGUUAAAGUUCAGCAUUCAUAAAUUACUAAUGCACAUGGAGCAAAAAAUAUAAUAAUUGAAAACAUGCAUAUUCAUUGCUAUGCCAUCUUAAAAUAUUUUGAAUAUAAACUAUUGAAUGCUUUUCAUUACCGGAAAUCACUUCAGAAAACAAGUUAUUUUCUUGCAUUUUAUGCCAAAAAUAAGCAUUCAUCAGGAUUGCAUAUUUUAAGUAAACAGUUGGUAGACAUCUAGGAAGGCAUAAUAAAUCCAGUUGCUAUUUUACACUAAUCCCUCUGCAAAAUAAUACUUGGUUCCUUUUCUCAGCUUUCCAUUUUCCAAUUAACUUGCACAGCCAAAUAACCUUCAGGAGUCUGAAGAAAGGUCCUGAUCUGAAACUUCACCUGUCUGGGCCCUCCAGUGAUGCUGUCUGACCCUCUGAGUUGCUUCAGCACUUUAUGGAUUAAAUAACCUAGUUCCUUUGUCAAUACUUUAUGGCACAACCAGAUGUUUUUUGAAAAAGGCCAAUGCAUAAUUGUCUUAGCCUUGAAAAGAAUGCCUAAUUUUUACUUUACCAUUUCCUAAGCUAAAGAUGAAAAUGUUGUCUAUGAGGGACAGUAGACACAUAUAGUGUCAAUCUGCUGAUAUACCUGUAACGGUUAUUCGAUAUGCAGAACAAUUAAAGAUUAGAUUCAUGCUAUGCAGUUCAUUUAUUUUUGACUUAGGCAAUGGGAGUUGCAUGAAAUAUAUUAUGGAAGAUAGACCACCACAAAUGAAACAGAGAAUCUUAUUAAAAUAAUGGGCAUUGAAAACUUAGCUUAUUUCCCAUUAGGUGCGAUUAAGGGUGACGUCUGAACUCAAUAUAAACAUGAUUUAUAGAACAACAUUCAAGAAGAGCUCUGAUGUCAAAUAAUUUAACUUCCUCAGGAAAAUGCAGAAAGCAUUGCUCAUUAGAUAUGAUGCUCAUAAUGAUAGUUGUUGAAGACUAAGAAGGCCAAAUUCUAUAUUAACCCAUAAUUAAGUCCGGCUGUUGAGCUACGAAGAGCAGUAGAGGAGGAUCACACAAUCCUGAAGAAUGAAUAUUCUUCAAUUUACAUUA